rnacentral:lncRNA from 1 species
AUAUCAAUUACACUUAUAUUUUGUUAAAAAAUCAACAUUUGUCUUCGUUUAAUGUUAUAAAAUCCAAUAUAAGAGCCAAUGUCACAAAGUAAAGGUAAAUGAUCAAUGUCAUUGAAAAAUUUAGUGUUUGCUUUGAAUUUCGUGCUUUAUAACAACAUUCUACAGGCAGUUCUAUAACACUCUAGACAAUGCACGUGUUGUAAAAACACGUACAAGAUCGUGUUACGCACCGUAUGACAAACUAUUCACAUAUUCUAUUUAUAGAAAAUAUCGUGAUUACGAACUAUCGCGUGCAAUACUUUACACGUUGCAGUACUUUCCAAGAUGAUUCAAUGGAGUCAAUUAUACUAACUUGUUCUUUUUGUAUACUUAAAAAUUCAACUUAUGAUAUAAUGUUUUGAAUAAUACAUAAGGGUCUUUGCUCGUAUUGCAUAUUUAUAUCAAGUAUGAUUAAAUAACAAGGUCGAUCGAUAUAUAUAGUUUUCUUUGAGUUGAAAGAAAAAACAAGCUAAUUCAACAGAUUUAAAUAUUCCAUACUACCAUCGACAUAACCACGCAAUUAUACACAAUUUAAUUUGACCUUAUCAUCUGUAACGUUUAAAAUGAAAUCGCUUUUUACAUACUUAAUUAAGGAAACUACAGCAUUAAUCUUAAUUAAGAAAAUUUCGGUUUAAAUAUAUCAUACUAUGUAGUAGAACUGUUUAUUUAAAUAUAUAAAAUUAAAGGUAGGAUUUAAAUAUUUAUGAAUUGUUUAACAUGUAUACAAAAAGUCACUUUAUUUUAAAGCAAUUAUAGUAAUAAUGGGUUUUAUAAAUUGUUAGUUACUAUAUUACAUAUAGCAAUAAAUAUUUUAAAAAGUUGGAAAAAA